AAUUCACUGAAGCCCUAGUCCCCAGUGUGAUUAUAUUUGAAUAUAUGGCCUUUAGGAGUUAAUUAGGGUUUGGUAGGCACCUAAUACAAUAAAAUUGGUGACCUUAUAAAAAAAAGGGAAGAAAAGGAGAGCUCUUUCUCUACACCCACUCAGAGAAAAUGCCAUGUGUGAACAAAGUGUUCAUCUGCCAGCCAGGAAAGAGCUCUCACCAUAAACUGAAUCCUCCCACAACAUUUAUCUUUUACUUUCCAGCCUACAGAAACGUGGGAAAAUACUUACCUGUUGAAGUCACCCACUCUAUGGUAUUUUGUUAUGGCAGCCUGAGCAGACAAAGACAGCACUUUUUUGCUUUCUAGCACCACAGGAUAUUCCAUGCUCAUCUUGUAUUAUCCCUGCCCCAGCCCACCCAUUUCUCUCAAAUGGUAUUUAGAAGCCCCUUUCUGGACACCAAGUGUCUCCAUUACUACUGAGCGCAGUUUUUAUUGGAGAGGCCUACCUGGAGGUGAUCUUCAAAGUUGUAGGAACUGUUCAGCAUCUGUUGGGGGUGAAUUCCUCUUUAUUGCUCACAUUCUCUCAGGCGGCUGAUGGCAGAUCCUGACCUCUUUAAGGGUUUGGCAAGUUGAAGAUGUCCUCCCAGCUCUUCAGACUGCAGUUACCAGCAAGUGCUCAGCCUCAUGAGGUCUUCAGUCAGCUCUGGGAGGCCUGCUGUGGAUGGCAGCGCCCAAGAUGCAUCAAAGAAGAUUCUGGAGCUGAAGCAAUUCCUGACCAUUCUGCACAGGGACAUCCAACCCUGGGUGAGGGCAUGUCAUCCAGAAAGCCCUGAGAAGGCAAUGACCUUGGUGCAGGAUUUGGAGUGAGAACCUGGGAGACCAAGGUAUGGUGAGAAGGGGAGUAUGUAAAGAGAAAGUGAGACCAGGUUGUGGAGGGCCUGAAAGUGGAGAAACUUGAUUUUUCUGCUGCUGCUUAAGCGCUUGUUUAUUUUCCUGAUGGGCAUUGGUGCUAGCUUUCCCACGAGGUCAGGCUGUCUCCCCACCGUGCAGGAAGGAUGGUGGGUGGAGAGUGAGGUUGGACCCUCACAGUCACUGAACUUUCAGUAGGUCCUUGUCCCCAAGGAUGAAGGAAGGGCAAUAGUUGUUCCCUGUAAGUAAACCAAAAUGUUCUGUUCUGCAGGUGUAUUCACCUGAGCAAGCUCUGUGGGGAGAAUCUUCUGCCUCUUAAACAGGCCUGCUCUAUGGUGCAGGAAUUGCAGUGUCCAGCAAGCUCUGGGAACUUUGGCUGUGUCCUCAGUGUCUGGGUCACACCCCUCCCUCAAACAGACUAAUGUAACUGAUUUUCUGCUCAGGAGAGGGCCAGAGUGAGACCAGCUGGGGGCUGAGAGCAGUGCGGCAAGGUGUCAGAGCCACAGGGCUCUGCAUGGGGGCUGCCACGGCUCUCCCUGCACUGCCCUGAGCAGACAGGACUCUGAAGUGCUCUCUGCCACUGUCCAUUGUGACCCUGGGUUCCUGACUCUUCUGUUCUGCCCUGCCACACAUACGGCACUCCUCAUUUACGUUUUUAGCUCUGGCUCUCCAGCAAUGUCUCUACCUAUACCUUUCUUCCCUGGGCCCAUAUGAUGAUCUGCCUGGGGGAGGUAAGGUAUUUUUGCCAGGUGAUGGUGUGUGUGCUCCCAAGAAGAGCCAGCAAUUCUGCAGUUCUGUGAGGACUUGCAGAGCUUCUCUUGGAGCCCACAAAGCCCGUGCACAGAGAUUUUCCCAAGAGAAGAGUCAGAAGUCGCAUUCAGACCAUGGAGCCUUCAAAGGAACCCAAUUAUUUUAGGAAAAUGGUGAGAAUCAGAGUCUCAGGCUGGAAAUGGGAGAGGUAGGAAGGAUCAGGGAUGAGAGUUUGUCACUGCCUGUGACAUCAUAGAUGUGACCUUGUAGUUGUGUCUUGCCCUGAAUUGGGAACAGAGAGCUAGUGAAUUGGUGUGCAGGUGUCAGGUUGAGACAGCUCAGUUCCAUAUGUAGGCUUCACGGUUCCCUCUGGUCGUCUCCUCAAAAGGCUCAUUCCAUGAUAGUUCUGAGCAGGGUCAUGUAUGAACCAGUCUGUCUUGGGGCAUUUGUGGUGCCUUUUUGUCACCCAAGGAAGAGUGUCUGAUCUUAGUAUAGACUGAUAAAGUUUUCUGAACAGGUAUAUGGGAGCUAGUUCAGCAUGGGCAGAGGGGUGAUCUAUCAGAAGACACUACCCGGGGGAAAGCGGGUGUGGGGCACAUCUCUACUGAGAAGACCCCCUUUGGACAUGUCAGGUGGCUUGUCAGUUGAAAAAGAAGGAAAAUACAGGUAAAAUGAUUGAGAGCCCCGCUUUUAGCAGAGGCUAGGAAGCCAAGGAGAGGGAGACUGUGGGUGAGUGUAUGAGGCCCCAUCGUCCUUGGCCAACCCCAGAAACCACAGUGAGUAAGGCAGCCCACAUGGGAUAUGUUACUGCUUCCUGUAUCAGAGUAUAAAGUCUUGACCCUAAAGCCAAUCCAACCAGGGAUUCCAAUGGACAAUGCUUGUUGCUAAGCAUGGAUGCCCUCCAAUGGAUAAUACCUUGAUGGUAAGAGGUAAGCUUAAGCUUCAGUAAGCAUGCUUGUAACAGGUGAGAUCUCUCCUUUAGCCUUUUCCACCUUGAGGCUGUAAAAGCUUCUUAGGCGCCAUGUCUAAUCUCUACUGUACUACCUAGCUCUUACUCUGGUGCCCCAGGCACUGUGGCACAUCUGGGAGAGUUGGUGGUAGUAGGUGUGACAGGACUCCUAAGCUGUGUCUGCAUACUCGGGGGGUGGGGGGCAGGUCUCUGGCACCACAAGACUAGUCUGAUGGUACUAACAUGCAGUAGAAGGUGUGUGUCCUGAGGUUCCACAGAAAGUGUUGACCAGACAGGUUGUGGGAGUGAAACACUGAAGUAAUUAAAGGUUUUGGAAUUGACACGACCCACAUUCAAAAUCCAGCUCCAUGCGCUGAAUCUCUAUGCACAUCACCUAACCUGUGAUAGCAGUGUCCAUUGGGCCUCCCAGGAAACCCUUGCAAUACUCAGUGUAUCUCAAACUUCUGCAAAAUCUCCAGAGGUGCCAAAAGAAUGGCCAAAUCCACAGAGCAUAUCUGAGCCACAUCCUCCAUCUGCCAGACCAGGGCUGCACAAAGUUCACCCUUGGAGGCAUGACCCCUACCAUAGGGACUUAGGUUACUUCCUAGGGUCCUGUGUUCUCCACGAGUAAUGAUUGCUCAGUCCUCACUGUCUGCCAGGAAGCCAGCCAAGGAUGAGUACCAGGACUAUGAGGCUGGAGCUAAAAUAGGGAAAGCAGAGAAUUGCGUGUGAUGAGGUCAGCAGUGAAAUGGGCACACUCCAGCCGAGGGUCCCAGGAUUCCCCAGGCUGUUCCUGCACUGGCUGGUAGGGUAGUCCCUUCACAGGAGAGGCUGAGAAGAGGUGCCCAGGGGUAUGUGAAGUGGGGUCAGGAGGCUGGAGGGAUCCAGCUCCUGUUUUGGCUGCAGGCACCCAUCUGCCACCUUAGACUGAAGAACCACAACAGAUAUCUGUGGAGGGGGGUGAUCUAUGGCUUUGGCCUUCUUUGGGUUGUGAGAAUAUGGAUCUUGCCUAUAGGAAUGGUUAGUAAUCUUCAGCAAGGAAGUGUCCACUGAGAAAUUAUGUCAAUUAGUUAAAAUGUUCCAGUGAGGAAGUAUAGAAACCAUAUGGAGAGUCCUAGUAUUUCAUAUACAGGAGGGAAAACUGGCUUCUCAAUAGACAUAUGAAAGGCUGAACCAAACCAGGAGGGUGUUCUAUACCUGAGAGGAGAUCUAUAGGCUUGGAGGUAUUACCUUUUAUACACCUACUUCAAAUUCAUUCUCCAGUGGCUAGAGCAGAGAUCAGGCUGUGUGAGUCAAUGGGAGGUAGACAGUAAGGUAUCUAACACAGUAAGUGCAGGGGACAGAUACUCCACAUGGGGUUGGGGGAACACAGCAAAAAGGUUGGAUUAGUCAAGACUUGGAAGAGAGGCCCUGCAAAUCUGGGUCACAUCUUGGGGGUGUUGGAGCUGGGUGGUGCUGCCCAACUGGUGCUGGUACUUCCAAAGGUCUGGUGAGGUGAUUCUGGAAGAUAGAGUGUCUACCUCAUUGACAGCGUUGUAUCUGGCUGCUAAGGAACCUGGUAUAUCAGAGA